rnacentral:rRNA from 1 species
AUACGGAGGGGGCAAGCGUUGUUCGGAAUUACUGGGCGUAAAGAGUACGUAGGCGGAUCGUUAAGUUAGAGGUGAAAUCCCAGGGCUUAACCCUGGAACUGCCUUUAAUACUGGCGAUCUAGAGAUCGAGAGAGGUGAGUGGAAUUUCCAGUGUAGAGGUGAAAUUCGUAGAUAUUGGAAAGAACACCAGUGGCGAAGGCGGCUCACUGGCUCGAUACUGACGCUGAGGUACGAAAGCGUGGAGAGCAAACAGGAUUAGAAACCCCAGUAGUCC